UUCCGUAGGUGAACCUGCGGAAGGAUCAUUAAUGAAUUUUAGGACGUUCUUUUUAGAAGUCCGACCCUUUCAUUUUCUUACACUGUGCACACACUUCUUUUUUACACACACUUUUAACACCUUAGUAUAAGAAUGUAAUAGUCUCUUAAUUGAGCAUAAAUAAAAACAAAACUUUCAGCAACGGAUCUCUUGGCUCUCGCAUCGAUGAAGAACGCAGCGAAUUGCGAUAAGUAAUGUGAAUUGCAGAAUUCAGUGAAUCAUCGAAUCUUUGAACGCACCUUGCACUCUUUGGUAUUCCGAAGAGUAUGUCUGUUUGAGUGUCAUGAAACUCUCAACCCCCCUAUUUUGUAAUGAGAUGGGUGUGGGCUUGGAUUAUGGUUGUCUGUCGGCGUAAUUGCCGGCUCAACUGAAAUACACGAGCAACCCUAUUGAAAUAAACGGUUUGACUUGGCGUAAUAAUUAUUUCGCUAAGGACGUUUUCUUCAAAUAUAAGAGGUGCUUCUAAUUCGCUUCUAAUAGCAUUUAAGCUUUAGACCUCAAAUCAGUCAGGACUACCCGCUGAACUUAAGCAUAUCA
rnacentral:rRNA from 1 species